AGAGGCCCUCCGUGGCCGGGGUGGAAUGCUUGCCUCGUCACCACAGCGACAUAGCAAGAAUUCCACCAGGCCUCUCAUGCUGCCUGC
rfam:Myotis brandtii contig309523, whole genome shotgun sequence.